CCUACGGUGGGCAGCAGUGAGGAAUAUUGGUCAAUGGACGGAAGUCUGAACCAGCCAAGUAGCGUGAAGGAUGACUGCCCUAUGGGUUGUAAACUUCUAUUAUAUGGGAAUAAAGUGCAGUAUGGAUACUGCUUUGCAUGUACCUUAUGAAUAAGGAUCGGCUAACUCCGUGCCAGCAGCCGCGGUAAUACGGAGGUUCCGAUCGUUAUCCGGAUUUAUGGGGUUUAAAGGGAGCGAAGGCGGGUUGUUAAGUCAGUUGUUAAAGUUUGCGGCUAAACCGUAAAAUUGCAGUUGAUACUGGCAUCCUGGAGUACAGUAGAGGUAGGCGGAAUUCGUGGUGUAGCGGUGAAAUGCUUAGAUAUCACGAAGAACUCCGAUUGCGAAGGCAGCCUGCUGGACUGUAACUGACGCUGAUGCUCGAAAGUGUGGGUAUCAAACAGGAUUAGAUACCCCUUGUAGUC
rnacentral:rRNA from 1 species